GUCCCUACGGGAGGCUGCAGUGGGGAAUAUUGCACAAUGGGCGCAAGCCUGAUGCAGCGACGCCGCGUGAGGGAUGACGGCCUUCGGGUUGUAAACCUCUUUCGCCAGGGACGAAGCGCAAGUGACGGUACCUGGAGAAGAAGGACCGGCCAACUACGUGCCAGCAGCCGCGGUAAUACGUAGGGUCCGAGCGUUGUCCGGAAUUACUGGGCGUAAAGAGCUCGUAGGUGGUUUGUCGCGUUGUUCGUGAAAACUCACAGCUCAACUGUGGGCGUGCGGGCGAUACGGGCAGACUGGAGUACUGCAGGGGAGACUGGAAUUCCUGGUGUAGCGGUGGAAUGCGCAGAUAUCAGGAGGAACACCGGUGGCGAAGGCGGGUCUCUGGGCAGUAACUGACGCUGAGGAGCGAAAGCGUGGGGAGCGAACAGGAUUAGAUACCCUUGUAGUC
rnacentral:rRNA from 1 species